UCCAUGUGAUGUCUGGGUGGAGUCAGGCAGCCUGGUCUGCUGGUCCAUCACUCCCAGUGGUGCUGUCCUUUGGAGAAGGGCACCACCAACACACAGCAGCCCCUUGUAGCCUCUCCUCUCUGUGGGGCCACCAGCAAGAGAGGCUGGAACCAUGGCAGCCCUGGGAUGACUUUGGGCCCUUGACCCCGCCCCAUAUUUGUGCUAAUGCACCUGAAAGCAGGAUGACACCUCUCCGACUGUGCUGACAGCUGAGGGUGAAGCCUGGCUGCAUGGGACACGGCACUGCUGCCCUGAGGUUUUGGGCGCUGCUCCCUUCUCAGGCAUGCUGAAACAAGAGACAUUGGAUGGAGUCAAUAUUGCCUUCAGUCAUGUGUUCUCCAAGCCAUGAGGCGUCAUCCCUGUUUGCAGACAGGUGGAGGCAGCUUCGGUGGCAGCAGAUGGGAGAUGUGCCAGCUGGGAUGGGGACCUGCACCACCACACAGCUCUCCAGCAUGGACAUUUCUGAGCUUUGCCUGUAGCACAUCUCACUAUCAACGGGGACUGAGAGCAGACUGUGACAGCUCUGGUGGUAUUUUUGUCCUAGCUGUACCUGGUAGAGAUGCUGUUGACAAAGAGGUGACUCAUUUCCACUGCCGAAUCUCUCUCGCGCAAUGCAUCUAUAUCCUGUUUAAUUUCACACCUAUCCUGACUGUUUAGUUACAUAUCAUUACUGUUCUAUUUGAUGAAUUUUAGAUUGUAUUGUAUGGAGUGAAUUUUAUAUUACAUUAUACUAUAUGCUAAUUGCCCAUUUAAUUUUAACUAGGUAAUAAGUUUUUACUGCAAACAGUUAGGAAAAUGACUUAUAAGAGUGUUUUAACUAGAUGUGUAAUUUGAGGAUACAAUUUUAAUAUGCUGUACAAAGUCUUCUGGGGCAAAAUUGUUGUGUCCUUACUCAGGCAAAUGGGAGUUUACUUGAGCAAAGAAGCAUUCAUAACCCAGGCAGUAUUUUGGGACCACUGUUUAAUUACCAUAAUUACUAUUCAUAAGUCACAAAUUCAGAUGUUGUGCAUCACCAGAUCUGUUCCCAGCUUUGCUGCAGAUGGGAAGUGUGAUGUUGAGCAAGGAGCAUACAUCGUGAGCUGCAAAUCUCUUACUCACCCUGGAAGGAGUUACUCAUGCUACUGACUUUUUCCACAGGAGUAACAAGAUGAACACCCCCGCUUUCAGUCAGGAGUUACUCAGGUGGAAAAUGCUAUUGGAGCAGAAGCCACAUCACUUCAUUGCAUUGGCUGUUUUUUUGGCCUGAGCUAAUGUGUUGCACCCACCAGAGGGUUGAUCCCAGAACACUAGAAGCUUUGUGCAUCUCCCUGUCAGCACUCCACUCAACCUACAUGCUGAACAUCCCUCCGUGAGCCAGAAUCAUCCUAGGUUCGUUCUCCAUAUCUUUGCAACCCUCUGCUCCUUUGGACCCCACUGAACUAGUGCCUUUAAAUUACUCCUAUCCUUCCUAUGAUUAAAUGGAGAAGCUGAGGGAACAGACAGGGAUGGGAGGGAAGAUCAGAGGGAGAUGCUUAGGCGGUACUGCAGAGCUUGUCAGCCUACGAGAGGCCCUACAGCAGGCUGGGUGGACGGCUUCCCUCUUUCCCUGCUGUUCCUGUCCUGGAUAGACUAAAACAUUGCUCUCCUUCUGCCUCUGUUUCUGUGGUGGAUUUUAGUAUUGCAAAUACUGAUCAGACGAAUGACAAUGAAAGAGACUGUACAGAGCACUUUGAGAUUUGGUAGAUAACAUAAUUUGGCUUGCUGUGAACGCUUGUACUUGAAAUUUCUAAUUUCAGUGUGGAAUUAAAUGUUGACCUCAUCAAGGUACCUUAGCACUACUGGCAGGUUUGCUAACCCUUUAUUUAAUGUUCUGAUCUACUGUUUGUUUCAACUUCAACAAAAACUUCUCUUUUCUUCAGUAAAGUGUAGCAGCCAAGAUAAACAAAUAUAACAAAAUCCUUUUAA